UUUGCACGAUGUCCAUCGUUCCUGAUGCAAUCUUUCUCUUGCCUUUCUCACCUAGCUCUCUUGCUGGCCAGUUUCCGGGAUGCAGCACCCAGAUCUGCAGAAAUGAGAUUUCCCCAUGGCUCUCCACACCUCAUCCAGUGUUAAUGAAAUAACGGGGCACACCAGAGCACAGCUGUGAAGCUCACAGCCGUGGAUGGGCUGUCUGUGCUGCAAGCGGAGGCAGUGAAGAAAGGUUGGGGAGCUGCAAAAAAUGUCUGCACAGAUUUGCUCCACUUACUAAAUGUGCAUGCUUUGGGCAUAUCCUGCAUGCCUGGACAGACAGCAUCUGAGUGGCCUGAAUGCACUUAGAAAACCCAAGUCUGCAUCGCUUAUGUGAGUGUAGAUGCAGAGAUGUCUGCGUUACGCUGCUUUGGAGGAGCAACGCGUCCGACUGGAUACGGGAUGUGGCGUGGGCCCAUGUUGUCUGCUGCCUUCCACCAACAAAUAUCUUGGUCUAAAUACAAAGACUUGCAGGACUGAAAGAUUUCUUUCUGUAGAUUUGUCUGAUUUUGUUCCUAAACCAUGCAGCAUCUGCAGCAGCCCAUGGAAGGAGGGUGUCUCCUCAUGCUUACCCCUCAUCUUCCACUCUCUCCCCACUGCCCUGAGCUGUGCAGGUCUCUGCCCUGUGCCCCUGUUUUUCUCUUUUCUAUGCCAAAG
rnacentral:lncRNA from 1 species